rnacentral:rRNA from 1 species
GAUGAACGCUAGCUACAGGCUUAACACAUGCAAGUCGAGGGGAAACGAUAUUGGAAGCUUGCUUCCGAUAGGCGUCAACCGGCGCACGGGUGAGUAACGCGUAUCCAACCUGCCCACCACUUGGGGAUAACCUUGCGAAAGUAAGACUAAUACCCAAUGAUAUCUCAAGAAGACAUCUGAAUGAGAUUAAAGAUUUAUCGGUGAUGGAUGGGGAUGCGUCUGAUUAGCUUGUUGGCGGGGUAACGGCCCACCAAGGCGACGAUCAGUAGGGGUUCUGAGAGGAAGGUCCCCCACAUUGGAACUGAGGCACGGUCCAAACUCCUACGGGAGGCAGCAGUGAGGAAUAUUGGUCAAUGGGCGAGAGCCUGAACCAGCCAAGUAGCGUGCAGGAUGACGGCCCUAUGGGUUGUAAACUGCUUUUAUAAGGGAAUAAAGUGAGCCUCGUGAGGCUUUUUGCAUGUACCUUAUGAAUAAGGACCGGCUAAUUCCGUACCAGCAGCCGCAGUAA